rnacentral:rRNA from 1 species
UACGUAGGGUGCGAGCGUAAUCGGAAUUACUGGGCGUAAAGGGUGCGCAGGCGGUUAUAUAAGACAGAUGUGAAAUCCCCCGGGCUCAACCUGGGGAACUGCGUUUUGUGACUGUAUGACUAGAGUACGGUAGAGAGGGGUGGAAUUCCUGGUGUAGCGGUGAAAUGCGUAGGUAUCGCUUGGAACGCCGAAGGUGAAAAACAGGCUGCUGGGGGUUGUGCCGACGCUGAGACACGAAAGCCAGGGGAGCAAACGGGG